AGUGAACGCUGGCGGUAGGCCUAACACAUGCAAGUCGAACGGCAGCACAGUAAGAGCUUGCUCUUACGGGUGGCGAGUGGCGGACGGGUGAGGAAUACAUCGGAAUCUACUUUUUCUUGGGGGAUAACGUAGGGAAACUUACGCUAAUACCGCAUACGACCUACGAGUGAAAGCAGGGGAUCUUCGGACCUUUCGCGAUUGAAUGAGCCGAUGUCGGAUUAGCUAGUUGGCGGGGUAAAGGCCCACCAAGGCGACGAUCCGUAGCUGGUCUGAGAGGAUGAUCAGCCACACUGGAACUGAGACACGGUCCAGACUCCUACGGGAGGCAGCAGUGGGGAAUAUUGGACAAUGGGCGCAAGCCUGAUCCAGCCAUACCGCGUGGGUGAAGAAGGCCUUCGGGUUGUAAAGCCCUUUUGUUGGGAAAGAAAAGCAGCAGGUUAAUACCCCGCUGUUCUGACGGUACCCAAAGAAUAAGCACCGGCUAACUUCGUG
rnacentral:rRNA from 1 species